UUCGGACCGGUCACUAUUGGAGGACGCCUGCGUGGAUUAGCUUGUUGGUGGGGUAAAGGCCUACCAAGGCUACGAUCCAUAGCUGGUCUGAGAGGACGAUCAGCCACACUGGAACUGAGACACGGUCCAGACUCCUACGGGAGGCAGCAGUAGGGAAUAUUGUGCAAUGGGCGAAAGCCUGACACAGCCAUGCCGCGUGUGUGAGGAAGGCCCUAGGGUUGUAAAGCACUUUCAGUAGGGAGGAAUUAGUAGGGUUAAUAACCUUAUGAAAUGACGUUACCUACAGAAGAAGUACCGGCUAACUCCGUG
rnacentral:rRNA from 1 species